CAGAAAUUACGAAGUUCAUUAGUGAAUCUCUGACAUCUUUUAUUAAGUAAGUUAUUGAUGUUAGAUUACUAGGAUCAUCAAGGUUGACUAGGACGUUUUUUUAGGUUGUAUCUGCUGAACCUGGCGGUGUUAGCCAGUCAGCUGAGUACUGUGUAUCUGAUGCUAGUAGAAAUAAGGUUUGUUUAAUUGCACCCUUGAAAGGGCUGUUUAGUUGGAUUGCAUGUAGGAAUACAAAUUAUUCCACACAAAAAAUUAUCAUAAGCCAUAAUGAGGUUUAAAAUGUUUAUUACUCAGACAGUAGUGUGACUAAUUUGUUCCCCAAACACUGCUGCUGCAGGUGGCUGCUGCUGGAGGCGAUGACUGCUUGAGCUGGCUGAUGUUGGCGAAGGAUGGUGAUGGCGGCUGCUGCUUGUGACGGCUGCUGAUAAUGUUGGCCUCUGCUGGUGCUGCCCAUGGCUGCUGGUGGCGACUGCUGACUGCUGGAAUAAGAGGAGACUGGAGGCUGUGGAGACUGCGGACGGUGUGCCGGGAAUGGAGUGGCUGAGUACAUCCAUGGCAACCAGUAAGGUGUUCGUCAGUGGCCUAGAUGGUAUGACUUUAGGUGAGGAGGUCUGCUGUGUGGAAAUCGCCUUCUUGGUCUGACUCUUGCUGCCAAGCUCAUGGCAUGAGGGAAGGUUGCUGUCCAGACUCAUGGCCUCUCUUUCCAGCUGUUCCACUACGUUGGAGGAUUCCAUAAGGAAAUCACUCGUCUUGGAACGGAAGAGCUGCUCCACGUGCUGCAGGAGAGUGAAAAGCUCAUCGCAUGGCCGUGCACAUUGGCAUUCCUCACAGAGCGAGAAGCUGAUGACCCUCUUCGCUAUGUAUCCUUCCAGGUGGUAGAGGACACAAGACUCGGUCUUUGUGAGGUCAGGUGGUGAUGGAUCUACCAGCUGCUCCACUCUCACAACCUCAGAAGCACUGCAGUUGCUGUUCUUGUUGUCCAAGAAGUCCGCCAAGUGGUCUGAUGCAUCAUCCAGGUAACUGCCAG